GGCAAAAUCAUAACAUACAACUAGGGGGUGCAGCGUAAAAUGGCUGUUCAAUUUUAUUUCGUGAAUAUUUUUUAAAUUGUUGACAUCGAAUAAUUUACGAAAUGCUGAAUACACAAGACAAAUGACGCAAAGUGUGUAAAUUGUUGGAAAUAAGUUAAAGAAAAACGACAACCACAAGUGCUCAAAACAAAAAGUGUCAGACGCCCCCAACAAAGUGGAAAAGCCACAUAGAAUGAACAUAGAAGUGUAAGGGACGUUGAACGGUGCGACUCUGGGGCUGGUUGGUGGUGGUGCAUAUUGUGCUGUGCUAAAGAAAAAAAAAGACAUCGGUAAAGUUAAAAGGAUUUUUGAAUUCAUCGCGAUUAUUCGCGUUCUAUUGCUCGAUUGCCCGAUUGCCCGCAUAAAUUAAUA